rnacentral:rRNA from 1 species
AACGAACGCUGGCGGCAGGCCUAACACAUGCAAGUCGAACGGGCACCUUCGGGUGUCAGUGGCAGACGGGUGAGUAACGCGUGGGAACGUACCCUUCGGUUCGGAAUAACCCGGGGAAACUCGGGCUAAUACCGGAUACGUCCGCAAGGAGAAAGAUUUAUCGCCGAAGGAUCGGCCCGCGUCCGAUUAGCUAGUUGGUGGGGUAAUGGCCCACCAAGGCGACGAUCGGUAGCUGGUCUGAGAGGAUGAUCAGCCACACUGGGACUGAGACACGGCCCAGACUCCUACGGGAGGCAGCAGUGGGGAAUAUUGGACAAUGGGCGAAAGCCUGAUCCAGCCAUGCCGCGUGAGUGAAGAAGGCCCUAGGGUUGUAAAGCUCUUUCAGCGGGGAAGAUAAUGACGGUACCCGCAGAAGAAGCCCCGGCUAACUUCGUGCCAGCAGCCGCGGUAAUACGAAGGGGGCUAGCGUUGUUCGGAUUUACUGGGCGUAAAGCGCGCGUAGGCGGACAUUUAAGUCAGGGGUGAAAUACCCG